ACAUUCGUGAUGUAAUCGGUAGCAUGACGGUCUCCAAAACCGUUCGUCUGGGUUCGAGUCCUAGCGUUUGUGCCA
rnacentral:tRNA from 1 species